CACUGUCAAGUUGACGGUCGACAGGUGAGUCGACAGUCUAGUCUCUCGUGCGUCCUUCUCCUUUAUAUAUCGCUUACAAAAAUGUUUACAAUAUUAUUUUUUUUAAACUGUUGAUUUGCCGAAAUAAAUAACACAGCGCAAGGCUGGUUAUUAUAUCCCAUGUGGUUGGGUUUUUGACCAAUUUAUUGACAAUUCCCGGGGUAAAUCCAUUGUAUCUAACCAAGAAAUAUAGUUUGUCUUCGAAUACAAUCGCCAUGUCAUUCCACAAUCGCAUCGUGCCAUCGACAGUCAGGACAUUAGUGUCGUUUGGACGUGGAGACGCACUGGUACAAGCUCAUAGAAUUUUGUGAACAGAAACUGAUGAUAUUGAGCUUGCAAAAGAUAUCUAUAUCAAAAAUACAAUUUGGGCAAACAGCAGACAAUUCUUUGGAAAUGGAAAAUUUUGAAAUUAUUAUGGCUCUGUGCAGUGUUCCCAGGUAUGAACACUAGAUGGCGCUGAACGUUCAUGAACAUUUUUAUUUAUUUUUCGCAGUUACUAAUUUAGUCUUUUUAUAGACUAAUGCAACUAAGGCUGCA